AUGGAAGUUAGACGUGGCACCUCGAAGCCUAACGUUAGCUAGCUAGAUAUUUGAAAACGACUUCUCUGAACUUUCCUCAUACGAAACAACAGUUUGGGAUGCUGAGCAGCAUGAUUACAUUGAAGAGAUGUCUGGGCCACGACUGUGCAACAAUUUCCACGGCAUUUUCUAUCAGCAUUUGCUACGAGCCAGUAGAGGGAGUCCAAGACUUGAAUCUUGCUUCAACCUUUUGGCCUCAAAAAACUCAAGCUUUCUACAAGCUCUCUGUCUGAGCUGCGAGAGGCAGAUUCCCCAACGUGUUCCAUCUCCAGCAUCAGCAGCUAGAGCGCACGGCUUGCGUGUUGCGCUAUGUGUCUGUAAUUCCCACCGACAACUGUGUUAAUGGAUGACAAUAGCAGAGAGGAGUGCGCCAUAUGUCCGAGCCUCGGGCAGCGCGGAGAAUGGCAAGGCACACAAAGACGAACCGGGGGGGAGUUAAGGGCAGAGGAGAGAGAGAGUGGGGAGGAAAAAGAAACAAGCUUGAGUAGAAAAGAAAGAUAGAAGAAGAAUCAUUGGGAUAAGGAGACAUAUUAGAGUUUUUUUCUUUUCAUCUAUUUUUUGCUCUCAUCCAAACUAUUUUCCUCCCUAAUUCUUCUUCAUUUGCUGCCAUGCCUCUCAGAGUAAAAACUGUUUUAUUACACUUUGAAAGAAGUUAUCACAGAUGUACACUUUUUUGUUAUGUAUCAUUUAUGUAUUGCAAAUACUGGGGUCUUAAUUUUCAUUAAUUUAUAUUAUUUGUAUGAAUUGUCAUAUUUGAAGGGUAUCUAGUGAAAGGUGGGGGCAGUUUGAACACAACGUAAUUUAAUAAUCAGCUGUAUGUAUUAUGUGUCUACUGCACAGUGGCUUCCGUGUGUGUGUCGAGAAUUGCUUUGAGCAGAGUUUAGUUUCUGAUGGGAUUCUUCUGAACAUCUUUGAAUUUGACUUUCAGGAUUCAUUGUAUAUCAGUUUAUUAUGGCAUCACACAUUAGUAUCAACCCAGUCUUAUAUUAAUUUACAUUACAAAAAGGUUAUACAACUCAGAAUUCACAGCUAUCUUGAUAUUUGAAUUCAAGUGCUUAUAAAAUGGCCCCAUUCUGAAUAAUUUUGGAUUACAAUUUUGGUGGUGUCAUUCUGAAAUGGCUUCUGAUCAGAAGUACAUCUCAUCUCAGUUGCCAGAGCUCCACUUGUAGUGUUCACGGAAUCUCAACUUUUCUCUCUUCGUCCCAUCUCCUUUCAUGUCUCUCCUUUCAUCUUCCCAUCUCCUCCUCUUUCAACUUCCUGUGUUACUUUUGUCCUGCUGUAUCCAAUCGCACACAAACUCACCCGUCCACAU